rnacentral:misc_RNA from 1 species
GAAAUGCGAUAAGUAAUGUGAAUUGCAGAAUUCAGUGAAUCAUCGAAUCUUUGAACGCACCUUGCGCUCCUUGGCAUUCCGAGGAGCAUGCCUGUUUGAGUGUCGUCAAAUUCUCAGAACCUUCUUGCUUCUUCAGGCAGCUGGGUCUGGAUCGGUGGAGGAUGCAUUGCUGGGCCAACCAACCCUUUGCUUCUCUGAAAUGGAUCGGCGGUACGGCUUCUUUGUCGGUAUGAUACACAUACAUGUCUUACCUGCUUCUAACCUGUGCCUGCCUUGGACACAAACACGCUCUCAUGAUUUGACCUCAAAUCAGGCAGGACUACCCGCUGAACUUAA